GGGCGCGUAGCUCAGCUGGCAGAGCACCUCGUUUACACCGAGGGGGUCGGCGGUUCGAUCCCGUCCGCGCCCACCA
rnacentral:tRNA from 1 species